rnacentral:rRNA from 1 species
AUUGAACGCUGGCGGCAUGCCUUACACAUGCAAGUCGAACGGUAACAGGUCUUCGGACGCUGACGAGUGGCGAACGGGUGAGUAAUGCAUCGGAACGUGCCCAGUCGUGGGGGAUAACUGCUCGAAAGAGCAGCUAAUACCGCAUACGACCUGAGGGUGAAAGCGGGGGACCGUAAGGCCUCGCGCGAUUGGAGCGGCCGAUGUCAGAUUAGCUAGUUGGUGGGGUAGAGGCCUACCAAGGCAACGAUCUGUAGUUGGUCUGAGAGGACGACCAGCCACACUGGGACUGAGACACGGCCCAGACUCCUACGGGAGGCAGCAGUGGGGAAUUUUGGACAAUGGGCGCAAGCCUGAUCCAGCAUGCCGCGUGCAGGAAGAAGGCCUUCGGGUUGUAAACUGCUUUUGUCAGGGAAGAAAUCUUCUGGGCUAAUACCCCGGGAGGAUGACGGUACCUGAAGAAUAAGCACCGGCUAACUACGUG